UAAGUUAAUUAAGUAGUAGCCUUUAAUUUAAAUAAAGGAGGAAAGUCCGGGCACUAAAGAGCAGGGUGUCAGGUAACACCUGAGAUUAAAUUACGAAUAGUGCAACAGAAAAUAAACCAUCUAUAAAUUUUAUAGAUUGGGUGAAAUUGUUUUUAACAUAUUACAUUAUAAAUUUGUAAUAUUGCAAACUCCACCUAGUGCAAAGUUAAAUAAAGAUUGUAUUGCUCAUACUAAAUCUGGGUUAACUGCUUGAACUAAUAAUUAAUUAUUAGUCUAGAUAAAUUACUACUUAUGACAGAACCCGGCUUAUAAAUUAACUUUUAAU
rnacentral:RNase_P_RNA from 1 species